GACGAACGCUGGCGGCGUGCUUAACACAUGCAAGUCGAACGGAAAGGCCCUGCUUUUGUGGGGUGCUCGAGUGGCGAACGGGUGAGUAACACGUGAGUAACCUGCCCUUGACUUUGGGAUAACUUCAGGAAACUGGGGCUAAUACCGGAUAGGAGCUCCUGCUGCAUGGUGGGGGUUGGAAAAUUUCGGCGGUUGGGGAUGGACUCGCGGCUUAUCAGCUUGUUGGUGGGGUAGUGGCUUACCAAGGCUUUGACGGGUAGCCGGCCUGAGAGGGUGACCGGUCACAUUGGGACUGAGAUACGGCCCAGACUCCUACGGGAGGCAGCAGUGGGGAAUAUUGCACAAUGGGCGGAAGCCUGAUGCAGCAACGCCGCGUGCGGGAUGACGGCCUUCGGGUUGUAAACCGCUUUCGCCUGUGACGAAGCGUGAGUGACGGUAAUGGGUAAAGAAGCACCGGCUAACUACGUG
rnacentral:rRNA from 1 species